rnacentral:rRNA from 1 species
CCUACGGGUGGCAGCAGUGGGGAAUAUUGCACAAUGGGGGAAACCCUGAUGCAGCAACGCCGCGUGAAGGAAGACGGUUUUCGGAUUGUAAACUUCUGUUCUUAGUGAAGAAUAAUGACGGUAGCUAAGGAGCAAGCCACGGCUAACUACGUGCCAGCAGCCGCGGUAAUACGUAGGUGGCAAGCGUUGUCCGGAAUUACUGGGUGUAAAGAGUUCGUAGGUGGCAUAUUAAGUCUGGUGUUAAAUGCAGAAGCUCAACUUCUGUUCGGCACUGGAUACUGGUAAGCUUGAAGGCGGUAGAGGUAAAGGGAAUUCCUGGUGUAGCGGUGAAAUGCGUAGAUAUCAGGAGGAACAUCGGUGGCGUAAGCGCUUUACUGGGCCGUAAUUGACACUGAGGAACGAAAGCCGGGGUAGCAAAUGGGAUUAGAUACCCCAGUAGUC